GCAGCCGUGGUCUAGCGGUUAGGACACUAGCCUUCCAAGCUCGUUACCCGGGUUCAAAUCCCGGCGGCUGCA
rnacentral:tRNA from 1 species